GAGGAGACUAACGGACGGUCUGCUCUGAUUGGUGGUUUCGUACCUGCAAUGCGUCACGCACAGGCUGCGCUGGGAAUCAUGCGCCCCCUGCUGGGGAGUCAGAUACUAGGAAGGAGGGCGACUGACUGAGGAAUCAUCUAUUCUAUAGGGAGUGAAGGAAACACAAUCUUGUCAAUGUGAACGGGAAAAAAACAAGGUUGAGGUAGAAGAGACUUCAUGGAUGGAGAGCACAAAGUUUAAAAGAACAAAACAGAUGAAGUUGCUGCAUGCUGGAACGUUAGAAGGAAGUCAUUUAUUAUUGUUAAAUUUAUUAUUACAUUAAUUUGUACCCUGCUUUUCUCUCUGGAAUGAGACCCAAAGCAUUUAGUGUUUGGUGUACCAUUCAGGUUGAUUAAUCCUUUUUAAAAAUCCUGUUAUAGAGUUGUUUUUUCUGAGGGGAGUGGAGGAGACACAAUCUUGUCAAUGUGAAUUAAAAAAUAAGGUUGAAAUAG